UUCGCAUAUAGUAAAGCUAUAAUAACGGUCACGCAGUUUGCACAAAAAGGUUUUGUCAGCGCUGCCCUGACGAUUUUAUCAGUUAGCCUAUACAGUGUAGCAACUUAAAGGCCACACAUGACAUUUAUCACUUAUAGAGACGCUGCAGCAGAAGAGUGUUUAGAGGCGCACAGAGGCUUUCCAUGAGGCCGAGAGAAGAUGACAUUAAUCUUCAGUACUGUUCUCUGGCACAGCGGUGUCCGGCCAGAUGAUGCCAGCCCACCAUGGUCUUCUGCACAGGGAGCUGUUGGAGGAAAGAGGACUCCUGAUGCUUUGAAGUCGGCGGGGGUCUGCUGAACUGAAGGGGGACAAUAAGCUAUGAAUUCAGCAGGCCGCUCUUUUGCCUGCUGACUCUAGCGCAAUUAAACGUUUCCAGGGCAACCGUUCAAAGAAAUGCGCAAAAAAACAAUAUUUGAAACAUUAUAAAAUACAUGCAUUUUAAGUCAAACUUUAAGUCUAGAGUCCAAACUGUUGUGACAUUAAUAUACAUAUAUAAAUAAAACCCAUAGUAUACUGUAAUAGUAAACAUCUUUUAUUGAUAUCAAUAAUGCAUGAACAUUAAUUAUCAUAAAUUAUCUUGUUGGCAGAAGUUGUGUUUGAAAUUUUAUAAUAAUUAUGCAACAUUGGGGAAUGUAAAUCGAUUAGGAAGAUGAUUAUAUGUGUCCAUUAGUUUCUGAUGACAGGACAUGGGCUUUUUCCAUCGGAGUUCUUGCUGUGGACGCAGGCUUUGAGGAAAUACAUUGUGCAAACUCAAUAACUCAAUUUUAAAAUCACCAUUACUGGCUUCUUGGGAGAAAAGAAAGGAAAAGACAAUGCAAGACCAAUACCAAUUUCUAAAAUGAAAUCAGAUAAAGCACACAGUCAUCUUUCUUCACAUUCCUAAACUACAGUUUAGUGUAGAAGCUUAUAGCCCUAUGAAUAUAAAACUACACGGUCACUCAUUUGGAGUAAAAAAGUCCUUGUUUAGUGUUUUCAGCCUGUUUCCAGUUGUCCAUGUGCUCUACUGAAUGCUUGACAUUAUUAGGGUAAAAUCAACAACAAAAAGCAUUCUGCUACUCAUAUUUCUCUAACACUCAGCAGCCAUUGUAAACAACGCAUCUAGUCAAGCAGGCAUUACCAUACAUACAGAAAACACAAAAUAUAUCAUUACAAAGACUUUAAGAACCUCAUAUUAAAAUAUAUGCAAUUGGUUAUAAGCAGUA